rnacentral:rRNA from 1 species
UACGAAGGGGACUAGCGUUGUUCGGAAUCACUGGGCGUAAAGCGCACGUAGGCGGAUUUGUAAGUCAGGGGUGAAAUCCCGGGGCUCAACCUCGGAACUGCCUUUGAUACUGCGGAUCUCGAGUCCGGUAGAGGUGGGUGGAAUUCCUAGUGUAGAGGUGAAAUGCGUAGAUAUCAGGAGGAACACCGGCGGCGAAGGCGGCCCUCUGGAUCGUUGCUGACGCUGAGACGCGAAAGCGUGGGGAGCAAACAGG